rnacentral:lncRNA from 1 species
UAGUCCAUUGAAAUUAAUUGUUAUUGGGCUAAUGUGGGCUAAUAGAUUACAAUUCAGAUAAAAAAAAAAAAAAAAAAAUUGCACUUUUGAAACAAGAUGGAAAAUACGAGGGGAAGUUAAUUUUAUCAUCAUAAUAGCCAUCUCUAGAAAACUUAGUACUCAUCAGACCUCAGUCCAUGGAUAAGCUUCUUCAGCAGUGCACUCAGCUUGAGAGGUUGGAAAGAGCCAUUAUAAGAGAUUACUAUGUAUCAUUUGAGCCGAGAUUAGAUAGAACCUUAUCGUAGAUGGAGAGGUAGCGGAGCUUGAGGAUUCUGGGGCGAAGGAUUUUGGUGCUGUUGUUGGGGGUGAUGAUUUGGGGCUUUCUAAGGUUUUGGUUGGGAUGGGGUGGGUUGAGCGUAUUAAUUACGGGAUUUA